GUGCCAGCCGCCGCGGUAAUACGGAGGUGGCGAGCGUUGUUCGGAAUCACUGGGCGUAAAGGGCGCGUAGGCGGGGUCGGAAGUCGGGUGUGAAAGCCCCGGGCUCAACCCGGGAACGGCGCCCGAGACUCUGGCUCUUGAGUCCCGGAGAGGCGGGUGGAAUUCCUGGUGUAGCGGUGAAAUGUGUAGAGAUCAGGAGGAACACCGGUGGCGUAGGCGGCCCGCUGGACGGAGACUGACGCUGAGGCGCGAAAGCGUGGGGAGCAAACGGGAUUAGAAACCCUCGUAGUCC
rnacentral:rRNA from 1 species